UUGGAGGGCAAGUCUGGUGCCAGCAGCCGCGGUAAUUCCAGCUCCAAUAGCGUAUAUUAAAGUUGUUGCAGUUAAAAAGCUCGUAGUUGAAUUUCGGGAUCAAUUAAUCGGUCGUGCCUCUGGUACGCACUGGUUUUAUUGGUUUCUCCCUCCUGACGAACCAGGAUGUCAUUAAUUUGGUGUCUUGGAGAAUCAGGACUGUUACUUUGAAAAAAUUAGAGUGUUUAAAGCAGGCUAACGCUUGAAUACAUUAGCAUGGAAUAAUGAAAUAGGACGUUUGAUCCUAUUUUGUUAGUUUCUAGGAUCGACGUAAUGAUUAAUAGGGAUAGUUGGGGGCAUUAGUAUUCAAUUGUCAGAGGUGAAAUUCUUGGAUUUAUUGAAGACUAACUACUGCGAAAGCAUUUGCCAAGGAUGUUUUCAUUAAUCAAGAACGAAAGUUAGGGGAUCGAAGACGAUCAGAUACCGUCGUAGUCUUAWCCAUAAACUAUGCCGACUAGGGAUCGGAUGAUGUUAAUUUUUUAAUGACUCAUUCGGCGCCUUACGGGAAAC
rnacentral:rRNA from 1 species